rnacentral:rRNA from 1 species
AUACGGAGGGUGCGGGCGUUGUUCGGAAUUAUUGGGCGUAAAGCGCGUGUAGGCGGCUUGGUAAGUCAGGUGUGAAAGCCCUUAGCUCAACUAAGGAAAGUCAUCUGAAACUGCCAGGCCUGAGUACGGGAGAGGAGAGUGGAAUUCCCGGUGUAGAGGUGAAAUUCGUAGAUAUCGGGAGGAACACCCGUGGCGAAGGCGACUCUCUGGACCGAUACUGACGCUGAGACGCGAAAGCGUGGGGAGCAAACAGGAUUAGAAACCCGGGUAGUCC